AGAGUUUGAUCCUGGCUCAGAGCGAACGCUGGCGGCAGGCUUAACACAUGCAAGUCGAGCGGGCCCUUCGGGGUCAGCGGCGGACGGGUGAGUAACGCGUGGGAACGUGCCUUCUGGUUCGGAAUAACCCUGGGAAACUAGGGCUAAUACCGGAUACGCCCUUAUGGGGAAAGGUUUACUGCCGGAAGAUCGGCCCGCGUCUGAUUAGCUAGUUGGUGGGGUAACGGCCUACCAAGGCGACGAUCAGUAGCUGGUCUGAGAGGAUGAUCAGCCACACUGGGACUGAGACACGGCCCAGACUCCUACGGGAGGCAGCAGUGGGGAAUAUUGGACAAUGGGCGCAAGCCUGAUCCAGCCAUGCCGCGUGAGUGAUGAAGGCCUUAGGGUUGUAAAGCUCUUUUAUCCGGGACGAUAAUGACGGUACCGGAGGAAUAAGCCCCGGCUAACUUCGUG
rnacentral:rRNA from 1 species